CUUAAAUGAAUUGACGGGGCCCGCACAAGCGGUGGAGCAUGUGGUUAAUUCGAAGCAACGCGAAGAACCUUACCAGGUCUUGACAUCCCCUGACAACCCGAGAGAUCGGGCGUUCCCCUUCGGGGGACAGGGUGACAGGUGGUGCAUGGUUGUCGUCAGCUCGUGUCGUGAGAUGUUGGGUUAAGUCCCGCAACGAGCGCAACCCUCGACCUUAGUUGCCAGCAUUCAGUUGGGCACUCUAAGGUGACUGCCGGCUAAAAGUCGGAGGAAGGUGGGGAUGACGUCAAAUCAUCAUGCCCCUUAUGACCUGGGCUACACACGUGCUACAAUGGGCGGUACAACGAGUUGCGAGUCGGUGACGGCGAGCUAAUCUCUUAAAGCCAAUCUCAGUUCGGAUUGUAGGCUGCAACUCGCCUACAUGAAGUCGGAAUCGCUAGUAAUCGCGGAUCAGCACGCCGCGGUGAAUACGUUCCCGGGCCUU
rnacentral:rRNA from 1 species